rnacentral:piRNA from 1 species
UCCGAGCAUAGAGAUGGGGUGGCCUAUCCUU